UACGUAGGCAGCAAGCGUUGUUCGGAUUUACUGGGCGUAAAGGGUGCGUAGGUGGGCAGGUAAGUCAGUGGUGAAAUCUCCGAGCUUAACUCGGAAACUGCCGUUGAUACUAUUUGUCUUGAAUAUUGUGGAGGUAAGCGGAAUAUGUCAUGUAGCGGUGAAAUGCUUAGAUAUGACAUAGAACACCAAUUGCGAAGGCAGCUUACUACACAACGAUUGACGCUGAGGCACGAAAGCUAGGGGAGCGAAUGGG
rnacentral:rRNA from 1 species